rnacentral:rRNA from 1 species
AAUCAACGCUGGCGGCGUGCCUAACACAUGCAAGUCGAACGCGACUGGGGCUUCGGCCUCAGUUGAGUGGCGAACGGGUGAGUAACACGUGGGUGACCUACCUUCGAAUGGGGGAUAACGUCCCGAAAGGGACGCUAAUACCGCAUAACAUCCCGCCUUUGAACAGGCGGAGAUCAAAGCCGGGGAUCGCAAGACCUGGCGUUUGAAGAGGGGCCCGCGUCCGAUUAGCUAGUUGGUGAGGUAACGGCUCACCAAGGCGACGAUCGGUAGCCGGCCUGAGAGGGCGGACGGCCACACUGGGACUGAGACACGGUCCGGACUCCUACGGGAGGCAGCAGUGGGGAAUCUUGCGCAAUGGGCGAAAGCCUGACGCAGCAACGCCGCGUGGAGGAUGAAGGCCCUUGGGGUUAGUAAACUCCUGUCGGCGUGGGAAGAAGUCGUGCGGUGCUCAUACCACCGUGCGUUGACUGUACCAGAC